CCUUUGAGUGUUACUUUGGUGUUAAAUUUGAAAGCCCUGAUAACAACACAGAGGCUGUGAAGAACCAGAUCUAAUAAAGACUGAGUUUGUGGUUUUAAUGCAUCUGUCUUUGUUAAAACAGUUGAGACUUGUGAAGAAGAGAUCACUUACGCCGAGACGACAUUCUACAAAAGAAGCGCACAGAAAACAAAAGUCGAAGAGGAUGUGGAAUAUGCACCGAUCAAAAUCAGAAGAUGAUCAAACUUCAGUGUUAUUCUAAGUACAAGACUCUUAUUGUCUUAUGAUUUUCAUUGGGAAUCUCCCAUCAUGACUUCAGACACUGUGGUCUUAUGGAUGAGCAUUUUCACUGCAGCUUUUCAUGUUUGCAAAACAUAGAUGCAAACUAUCCAUCCAGAGGUGAUAAAGUAGACUCUGCUGUGGUACGGAUUAUUUAUAUCUGUACAGAAAUGUGGUUUGAUCUGUGCAUCAGAAUGUGUCUACUGCUGGAUGCUUGUAUUUGAUGUCAGUUUGUUAGUGUGUGUCUGAGGUGUUAAAAGUGUCUGUUUGCAUGUGUAUUUGUGCAAGUGUGUGUCUAAGGUGUCAACAAUACAUCUGUGUGAGAGUGUGCCGUGUGAGUGUGUCGUGCGAUUGUGUCUGAGGUGUCAAUAGUGUGACUGUGUGAGUUUGUAUGAGGUGUCAAUAAUAGUCUCUCAGUGUGAGUGUGUCUGAGGUGUCAGUCUGUGUGACUUCUGCUCUACAAGGAAGCUAAUUUACUUAAAAAUAUGAAAGUCAUUAAAGGGAUCAUGAAAUAGA